GACGAACGCUGGCGGCGUGCUUAACACAUGCAAGUCGAACGGAAAGGCCUCUUUCGGGGGGUACUCGAGUGGCGAACGGGUGAGUAACACGUGAGUAACCUGCCCUUGACUUUGGGAUAACUUCAGGAAACUGGGGCUAAUACCGGAUAGGAGCUCCUGCUGCAUGGUGGGGGUUGGAAAGUUUCGGCGGUUGGGGAUGGACUCGCGGCUUAUCAGCUUGUUUGGGGGGGAGUGGCUUACCAAGGCUUUGACGGGUAGCCGGCCUGAGAGGGUGACCGGCCACAUUGGGACUGGGAUACGGCCCAGACUCCUACGGGGGGCAGCAGUGGGGAAUAUUGCACAAUGGGUGGAAGCCUGAUGCAGCAACGCCGUGUGCGGGAUGACGGCCUUCGGGUUGUAAACCGCUUUCGCUCAUGACGAAGCUUUGUGUGACGGUAGUGGGUAAAGAAGCACCGGCUAACUACGUG
rnacentral:rRNA from 1 species